UACGUAGGGCGCAAGCGUUGUCCGGAAUUAUUGGGCGUAAAGAGCUCGUAGGCGGCUUGUCACGUCGGUUGUGAAAGCCCGGGGCUUAACCCCGGGUCUGCAGUCGAUACGGGCAGGCGUAGAGUGUGGUAGGGGAGAUCGGAAUUCCUGGUGUAGCGGUGAAAUGCGCAGAUAUCAGGAGGAACACCGGUGGCGAAGGCGGAUCUCUGGGCCAUUACUGACGCUGAGGAGCGAAAGCAUGGGUAGCGAACAGG
rnacentral:rRNA from 1 species